AUUGAACGCUGGCGGCAUGCCUUACACAUGCAAGUCGAACGGUAACGGGCCUUCGGGUGCCGACGAGUGGCGAACGGGUGAGUAAUAUAUCGGAACGUGCCCAGUAGUGGGGGAUAGCCCGGCGAAAGCCGGAUUAAUACCGCAUACGACCUGAGGGUGAAAGCGGGGGAUCGCAAGACCUCGCGCUAUUGGAGCGGCCGAUAUCAGAUUAGCUAGUUGGUGGGGUAAAGGCCUACCAAGGCAACGAUCUGUAGUUGGUCUGAGAGGACGACCAGCCACACUGGGACUGAGACACGGCCCAGACUCCUACGGGAGGCAGCAGUGGGGAAUUUUGGACAAUGGGCGCAAGCCUGAUCCAGCAAUGCCGCGUGCAGGAAGAAGGCCUUCGGGUUGUAAACUGCUUUUGUCAGGGAAGAAAUCUUCUGGGUUAAUACCUCGGGAGGAUGACGGUACCUGAAGAAUAAGCACCGGCUAACUACGUGCCAGCAGCCGCCGCAGUAA
rnacentral:rRNA from 1 species